rnacentral:rRNA from 1 species
AGUGAACGCUGGCGGUAGGCCUAACACAUGCAAGUCGAACGGCAGCACAGUAAGAGCUUGCUCUUACGGGUGGCGAGUGGCGGACGGUUGAGGAAUACAUCGGAAUCUACUUUUUCUUGGGUGAUAACGUAGGGAAACUUACGCUAAUACCGCAUACGACCUACGGGUGAAAGCAUGGGAUCUUCGGACCUUGCGCGAUUGUAUGAGCCGAUGUCGGAUUAGCUAGUUGGCGGGGUAAAGGCCCACCAAGGCGACGAUCCGUAGCUGGUCUGAGAGGAUGAUCAGCCACACUGGAACUGAGACACGGUCCAGACUCCUACGGGAGGCAGCAGUGGGGAAUAUUGGACAAUGGGCGAAAGCAUGAUCCAGCCAUACCGCGUGGGUGAAGAAGGCCUUCGGGUUGUAAAGCCCUUUUGUUGGGAAAGAAAAGCAGCAGGUUAAUACCCCGCUGUUCUGACGGUACCAAAAGAAUAAGCACCGGCUAACUUCGUG